rnacentral:rRNA from 1 species
UACGUAGGGGGCAAGCGUUGUCCGGAAUCAUUGGGCGUAAAGCGCGCGUAUGCGGCCCGGUAAGUCCGCUGUAAAAGUCCAGGGCUCAACCCUGGAAAGCCGGUGGAUACUGUCGGGCUAGAGUCCGGAAGAGGCGAGUGGAAUUCCUGGUGUAGCGGUGGAAUGCGCAGAUAUCAGGAGGAACACCGAUGGCGAAGGCAGCUCGCUGGGACGGUACUGACGCUGAGGCGCGAAAGCGUGGGGAGCGAACAGG